rnacentral:rRNA from 1 species
UACGAAGGGGGCUAGCGUUGCUCGGAAUCACUGGGCGUAAAGGGUGCGUAGGCGGGGCUUUAAGUCAGGGGUGAAAUCCUGGAGCUCAACUCCAGAACUGCCUUUGAUACUGAAGAUCUUGAGUUCGGGAGAGGUGAGUGGAACUGCGAGUGUAGAGGUGAAAUUCGUAGAUAUUCGCAAGAACACCAGUGGCGAAGGCGGCUCACUGGCCCGAUACUGACGCUGAUGCACGAAAGCGUGGGGAGCAAACAGG